AAUUUUGGACAAUGGGGAAAACCCAAACCUACCCAUCCGCUCUUGCGGAGUAAGGCCUCCGGGUUGAAAGGAACUUUUGUCGGGGAGGAAAGGGUCCGGGCAAUUACCCGAAACGUAAGUCGGUACUUGAGAAAUAAGCACGGCCAAGCAUGUUGCAAGAAGCCGCGGUAAUACGUAGGGUGCAAGCGUUAAUCGGAAUUACUGGGCGUAAAGCGUGCGCAGGCGGUUCGGAAAGAAGGAUGUGAAAUCCCAGGGCUCAACCUUGGAACUGCAUUCUUAACUACCGAACUAGAGUAUGUCAGAGGGGGGUAGAAUUCCGCGUGUAGCAGUGAAAUGCGUAGAUAUGCGGAGGAAUACCGAUGGCGAAGGCAGCCCCCUGGGAUAAUACUGACGCUCAUGCACGAAAGCGUGGGUAGCAAACAGG
rnacentral:rRNA from 1 species